rfam:Pongo abelii chromosome X.
UGGUAGUCCGAGUGCAGAGAUAUUCACAACUAAUUGAUCAUAACCAGUUACAGAUUCCUUUGUUCCUUCUCCACUCUUACUGCUUCACUUGACUAGCGGUUC